CAAUAGCGUAUAUUAAAGUUGUUGCAGUUAAAAAGCUCAUAGUUGGAUUUCUGGUGGGAGCGAUCGGUCUGGCGCUUAGCGCGAGUACUUGCAUCGUCUCCGGCCAUCCUUGGGGAGAGUCUGUCUGGCAUUAAGUUGUCGGGCAGAGGAUCCUCAUCGUUUACUGUGAAAAAAUUAGAGUGUUCAAAGCAGGCUUAUGCCGUUGAAUAUAUUAGCAUGGAAUAAUAAGAUAGGACUUUGGUACUAUUUUGUUGGUUUGCGCACCAAAGUAAUGAUUAAUAGGGACAGUUGGGGGUAUUCGUAUUCCGUUGUCAGAGGUGAAAUUCUUGGAUUUACGGAAGACGAACUACUGCGAAAGCAUUUACCAAGGAUGUUUUCAUUAA
rnacentral:rRNA from 1 species